UUCUCCUUUGUAUAGUGGCUAGUAUCCGACGCUGUCACCGUCGAGACCCGGGUUCAAUUCCCGGAGGGGAAG
rnacentral:tRNA from 1 species